rnacentral:rRNA from 1 species
GACGAACGCUGGCGGCGUGCUUAACACAUGCAAGUCGAGCGGUAAGGCCUUUCGGGGUACACGAGCGGCGAACGGGUGAGUAACACGUGGGUGAUCUGCCCUGCACUCUGGGAUAAGCCUGGGAAACUGGGUCUAAUACCGGAUAUGACCUCAGCAUGCAUGUGCUGGGGUGGAAAGCUUUUGUGGUGCAGGAUGGGCCCGCGGCCUAUCAGCUUGUUGGUGGGGUAAUGGCCUACCAAGGCGACGACGGGUAGCCGACCUGAGAGGGUGACCGGCCACACUGGGACUGAGACACGGCCCAGACUCCUACGGGAGGCAGCAGUGGGGAAUAUUGCACAAUGGGCGGAAGCCUGAUGCAGCGACGCCGCGUGAGGGAUGAAGGCCUUCGGGUUGUAAACCUCUUUCAGCAGGGACGAAGCGUGAGUGACGGUACCUGCAGAAGAAGCACCGGCUAACUACGUGCCAGCAGCCGCCGUAA